AGAGCAUGUUAGAAGGACAUCUCCUGAUCAGUUGCUUGUAUCUUUCUCAAGCUUCACAGAAGGAUUCACCUUCUUUCUGCCUGAAGAUUUAAACUUCCACUCUGCUUUU